AUAGGAGACAAGAAGGCAUCUUCUUGUUUUUAAAAGACCUAGCAAUAGGUAUGCUUAGGGAGGAGCUUGCGUAACAUUAGUUAGUCGGAGGGGGAAAGGGCUACCAAGACUAUGAUGUGUAGCCGGGCGAAAAGGUAGAACGGCCACAUUGGGACUGAGACACGGCCCAAACUCCUACGGGAGGCAGCAGUAGGGAAUUUUCGGCAAUGGUCGAAACUCUGACCGAGCAACGCCGCGUGAACGAUGAAGUAUUUCGGUACGUAAAGUUCUUUUAUUAGGGAAGAAUAAAUGAUGGAAAAAUCAUUCUGACGGUACCUAAUGAAUAAGCCCCGGCUAACUAUGUGCCAGCAGCCGCGGUAAUACAUAGGGGGCAAGCGUUAUCCGGAAUUAUUGGGCGUAAAGGGUGCGUAGGCGGUUAAAUAAGUUUAUGGUCUAAGUGCAAUGCUCAACAUUGUGAUGCUAUUAAAACUGUUUAGCUAGAGUAAGAUAGAGGCAAGUGGAAUUCCAUGUGUAGUGGUAAAAUGCGUAAAUAUAUGGAGGAACACCAGUAGCGAAGGCGGCUUGCUGGGUCUUUACUGACGCUGAGGCACGAAAGCGUGGGGAGCAAACAGGAUUAGAUACCCUGGUAGUCCACGCCGUAAACGAUGAGUACUAAACGUUGGGUAAAACCAGUGUUGAAGUUAACACAUUAAGUACUCCGCCUGAGUAGUACGUACGCAAGUAUGAAACUUAAAGGAAUUGACGGGACUCCGCACAAGCGGUGGAUCAUGUUGUUUAAUUCGAAGGUACCCGAAAAACCUCACCAGGUCUUGACAUGCUUCUGCAAAGCUGUAGAAACACAGUGGAGGUUAUCAGUUGCACAGGUGGUGCAUGGUUGUCGUCAGCUCGUGUCGUGAGAUGUUGGGUUAAGUCCCGCACCGAGCGCAACCCUUUAUUGUUAGUUACCAGCACGUAAUGGUGGGGACUUUAGCCAGACUGCCAGUGAUAAAUUGGAGGAAGGUGGGGACGACGUCCAAUCAUCAUGUCCCUUAUGACCUGGCCUACAAACGUGAUA
rnacentral:rRNA from 1 species